AUGCAUUUCUGGCCAAAAUUUGGGUUGGGUUUGUGUCCCAGCGUGGACACGGCGCCUGUCCUUGUCCUCCUUCGGCUUGUCUGUCGGAGGCGCAUUCACUGCAUUUCCCCCCUUUUCCCAAAAUCCUCUCGCCUUCCUGGCCACCACGGUCGACGAUGUGCCACUCGCUUCGAUCCCCCAAAGAAGAAGCCCAAGAAGGUGUGCACGCCAGAGGAGACGACCAAGGAGAUGGCGAAGAGGGCUGGUCGGAGGGCCAAAGAGGUGGAGAAAAAAGUCGGCCGCCGUCGCACAACAGCAGUCCGCCGUUGCGGAGAACGAGGCCCUCAUGCCAAAGCCACGCAUCAUGCCCUCCUCAUGCCAGGGUUCUGUCGUGGCGAGCCAGCCAUUCUUGCCACCGUCGCCAUGGCCACGACGAGCACAUGCUCCUCGGCUGCCCGUCGGCCACAUCUGGAGUCGUUGUGCACCUCCACAACGCCACAUAUGCAUGGGUUCCCUCUCCAACACGACCCGGUGUGUCCCGCUUCUCCACCUCACCUCGGGACUGCUCGCUGGAAGUGA
rnacentral:rRNA from 1 species